rnacentral:pre_miRNA from 1 species
CUUUCUACACAGGUUGGGAUCAGUUGCAAUGCUGUGUGUUUCUCUGGUAUUGCACUUGUCCCGGCCUGUUGAGGUUGG